GAUGAACGCUGGCGGCGUGCCUAAUACAUGCAAGUCGAGCGAACAGACGAGGAGCUUGCUCCUCUGACGUUAGCGGCGGACGGGUGAGUAACACGUGGAUAACCUACCUAUAAGACUGGGAUAACUUCGGGAAACCGGAGCUAAUACCGGAUAAUAUAUUGAACCGCAUGGUUCAAUAGUGAAAGACGGUUUUGCUGUCACUUAUAGAUGGAUCCGCGCCGCAUUAGCUAGUUGGUAAGGUAACGGCUUACCAAGGCAACGAUGCGUAGCCGACCUGAGAGGGGGAUCAGGCACACGGGAAACGAGACACGGUCCAGACUCCUACGGGAGGCAGGAGGGGGGAAUAUUUGCGAAUGGGGGCAAGCCCGAACGAGCCAACCCGCGUGGGGGAAGAAGGGUUUUGGGUUGGAAAAACUUUUUUUUGGGGAAAAAAAAAAUCAGGAAAAAACCAUGGGAGUAUGAAGGGACCCAAAGAAUAAGCCCCGGCUAAAUUCGUG
rnacentral:rRNA from 1 species